GGCCCUGUGGUGUAAUGGUUACACAUCCUCUGUUUGUAGAUUUCAACAUCAAUGUUCUGAGAGAGUUCCCUGUUCGAAUCAGGGCGGGACCA